GGCAAUGCUAAAGCAACAGGGUAGAGGCCGCCAACGACCACACCCAGGAGCGCACCUCGAACUUCCGCGCAGGCCUUGCAGUCGAGAUUCCCUGUGCAGCGCAUGACAGAAAGAAAGGCGACCGGUUAGAAACUGCAUUUCAGAGAUUCUGUGUUUGUCUCCUCCUCUGCCCUCAACCCCGCCCACACCUCCGUUGAGGAAGCACCCUCGAGCGCAACAAGCAAAGAGAGGAAGCCUGGGAAUAAUGGCUAAUUCCUGGGAGAGAAGAGGAGAUUACAGGGAUGAGUCCCGCACACUGGAGCCCACUCCACCCACCCAUUACAUAAGCGUGGAUGAGAAGCGGCUGAUCCACACUGUGUGGGUGGGUGUACGUGUCUGUGCGGAUGCGAAUCUCCCCCCAGAUUCGCCGAGAGGUUGCCUUGGAAACACAAUUGGUAAAUCUGUAUGCAGGCAGCUGCUGCAUACCAGGUAGGGGAAAACAGAAGAACGGAAAUAAGCAGCUAAAGAAAAUCAGAAAAGGCUAAAUUAGUGUAAUUAGAUUUAGGUCCAUGGUGUAUAUUUGAGCAAAGUGUUUUCUUUAUGAGACAGAGACACAGCUGCAGCAAAUUUCUCCACACAGCCUGAUCAAAGUCCUCUGAAAUGCUUUAUCUGGUUUUGAGUGUGACCUGCAUUGAGCACAUAAGGACUAAACACCCUCCUAAUUUCAUAACCCGCUAAUGUUUCAGAUUUCUCAUGCUUUUCUCUUUAGACUGAACUCUCACUGGAGUCAAAGCCUGUGGGAGGUAGUUUAUUAUUACAUAAUUAUAACAUGUAUUUCUCUGCAGAGCCUGACUGUACUUAUUUCCAAAAAACGCUAAACCAAGAUAUCAAUUGUAUCUUUUACCCUAUAGGUGUGUAUCUUUUUAAACUUUAAUAUGAAUAUAUAUUUAUUUUAAACAAUGGAUUUUCUAUGAACACAAAAAAGUAAGUUCUGUGUUAUGCAGUGUAUUGAACAGUGGACUGAGGUGGACUAUUGAAACAUGCUUGACCUCCCAAAAUUCAGAUAUAGCUGAAAGGACAUUUGGCAAUUAAAAAAAAAAAAAAAAAAAAUGUUUACUUUUAAAAAAAUAUUUUGUGAAUGAAGAGUGGGUACGUUUUCAUUUUUAUCUGCCUUGUUUUUUUUUAAAUGUUUAAUUCUCACCCAAUAACUAAUUUCAUUUUGAGUACAUUUCACAUAAGCACAUGUCAAUGUGUCAUGGGAGAUGGGCAGUUGACCUUUGACAUAGCUGGGAGGGAGCCAGUGUGUACCUGUGAAAAUUGACAGUAAUUUGAAUGACACUUGAAUGUUUCCAGUGAGAACAUAUUGUCUGUUGGAUUCUUUGUAUUUAUAUUUUGCAGGAUGCCAAAAGCUACAUUGAAUUAAAAACAUGAUAUUUCUUUAAAA